CAGGUCUGAGCCACCCUGUCCAGACCAUUUCUUCUUCUUGUCUAUGGGAAGCUAGCUGCAGUGCCAUGAGGACGUCAGUCAGCUCUGUGGAGAGGUCCAGUAAUGAGGAGCUAAGGCCUCCCACCAGCAUUUAGCAAGGAAGCUGAUGGAGGCUUCAGACCAACAGCUACAUAGCUGCCUUGUGAGCUGCUUUGUAGAGAAGUCCAUGUGGCAAGGAGCUAAGUAAGGGAGGCAUCGUGACAACAGCCAGUGAGGAACUGAGGCACUCAGUCUAACAGCUUGGGAGGAAUUGAAUCCUUCCAACAACCUGCAUGUGAGCUUGAGCUUGGAAAUGGACCUUACCUCAGGUGAACUUUUAGGUGAGACAACAGUCCUAAGCCAAUACUUUGAUUGCAGCCUUGUGAGAGAACUUGAGCUAGAGGUACCAAGCUAAACCAUGCUUGUAUUUCUGAUUCACGGAAACUGAAAUAAUAAAAGUUUGUUACUUGAAGCUGCUAAAU
rnacentral:lncRNA from 1 species